UUGCACUCAGGAGGCAGAGA
rnacentral:misc_RNA from 1 species